GUAAAAUGUUUCACUAAACCAGUUUCUCAGUGUGAGCUGAAUCUGCUUCUCUGACUUGUAUCUCCAGGCAUCAGAAGAAAAGAUGAAAGUAGCCAUCAUAGCUGUGUGCCUCCUUGGCCUCCUUUGCCUGUCGUUUGCAGCUCCUUAUGGCGAUGAGCUUGCCCGAGAGAAACGCAGUGGAGAGAACUUUCGCUU